CGCCUCCCCCCAUUAGGGCUGCUCUCUCUCCGCAGCACUGCCUGAAUCCCAGGCGCCACAGUGCAGCUGCAAACUGCAUUAGCGUCGCGCCGCGGAGUCCCUAAUACAAUUAUGGGGCAGUAUUAGAGGUGCUAAUUGACAAACCCCUAAUCAGUGCCGGGAUUGAUGUCAAUCAGCCCAUGGACGGGGCGGGGCAGAGCCCUUCAUUCAUAAAAAUUGCUUAAUGGAGGGGUCUGGGUUCUGUCUGCUGUCUCAUGGGCACGUCCUUGGGAUGGGAAAUAGGAGAAAGGAUGGCAAGGUGUGUGUGGGGGGGGGCAGGUGGGGUUUGCAGGCUGUUUUUUGGGGUGUUUAAGCCCUUUUUGGUGGCUUGAGACAUCACCGGAGGGGUUGCAUGGAAAAAAAGGGGGGGGAAAAGGAGGUUGUUCUCACCUGCCCACCCCGUAUGGAGGAUGCGGGCUGCUUUCCUGCCCUCGGCUGCAGCGCAAUUAAUUGGCAAUUACCAGCAGUCCAUAAAGCACGGCCGUUCUUGGGGAGGAAGCUGUAAAACCGCGCAUCUUCGGCCGCAUUUCCUUCACUCCUCAUCGAUCCCAUGGCCUCGGGGCGGUGCACCCGGCCGACCCCCAUCGAUCCCGUGGGAUUUCGGUGGGAUGUGGGCAAACAGUGAGGGCACAGCCCUGCGGGGCCCUGUGAGCAGCAGGUCCCGAUCCCAGGGCUGCUUUCUCUCCCUCUCCUUCUGUGCAAGUGCAAUGCCAUUACUGUGCAGGUGCAAAGCAGUGCAGGUGCAACACCGUGCAGGUGCAAAGCAGUGCAGGCGCAGUGCUAUUCAGAUGCAGUGCCACGCAGUCGCAAUGCUGUUCAGAUGCAAUGAUAUGCAGGUGCUGUUCUGUUCAGAUGCAACGCUGUGUAGGUACUGUGUUGUUCAGAUGCAAUGCUGAGCAGGUGCAAUGCUGUUCAGAUGCAACACUGUGCAGAUACUGUGCUGUUCAGAUGCAAACACUGUGCAGGCACUGUGUUGCUCAGGUGCAACGCUGUUUGGAUGUAACACUGUGCAGAUGCAAUACUGUGCAGGUACCGUGCUGUUCAGAUGCAAUGCUGUUCAGAUGCAACACUCUGCAGGUGCAGCGCUAUUCAGAUGCAACGCUGUUCAGAUGCAAUUCCCUUUGCAGAGCCCGCCCUGCUGCUGCACGGCGUUGCCCAGUGACUCUGAUGCUUGGAGCACGGCAUGCACGGAAGACCCUGCAGCUGGGAUGCAUGGAGCUGCUCAUGCAAAGCCACGUCCCACCUGUGUCACACUCACCUUUCCCAGGGGCGCGCACUGAUCUCAUUAGAACAGGAGCCGGGAAGUGGCUGCAUUUCCACCCCGCUGCUCUUGGUUAUCGCAGCGAAAGGGGAGCCAAUUACCAGCAGCUGGUGAGAGCCUCAAAUUAUUAUUAAUUUCAAACAAAGCAUAUGCUUUGUGUUAACAAUCCUCCGCGGUGUGGCAGAAGGGCCAACACCAUCCAGAUGGCUUCGACGUGUGGUGGGAAUGAAUAAUAUGCAGCUCUGCCACCGCGCCGGCGGUGUGUGGGGAUGGGGGGGGGUGAGCAGCGUGGGGAGGGGACACAGGUAGCACCCGUGGGCAAAAAUCCCUGUGCAUGGCAGCUGGCAGCCUGCAGGCACUGCUGCAUGCAGGGCAGGGAUGCUGGCGGCCCUAUGGGGAUGCUGGCGGCCCUAUGGGGUGGGAUACUGGUGGUUCUAUGGGGACAUAUGCUGGUUACCCCAUAGGGAUGCUGGUUACCCCAUAGGGAUGCUGGUUACCCCAUAGGGAUGCUGGUUACCCCAUAGGGAUGCUGGUUACCCCAUAGGGAUGCUGGUUACCCCAUAGGGAUGCUGGUUGUCCUAUGGAGAGGAAAGCUGGUGACCCCAUAAGUGUGCUGGUGGUCUUAUGGGAGGGAUGCUGGGAUCCUAUAGGGUUUCUGGUGGUCCUAUGGGGAGGGAUGCUGGUUACCCCAUAGGGAUGCUGGUGGUCCUAUGGGGAUUGAUGCUGACAGCUCAAUGGGGAGGGAUGCUGAAGGCUCUCAUGAGCAGAGCCCUAUGCAGGAUUGAUGUUGGAGGGGAUAGAAAAUGUCCCUUCUCCCACACCUGUGCUGCUGGCAGAGGGGUUGCACAAACCUGACCCACCCACAAAACCCUUUAACACUCACACAUUGCAGACAUGGGGAGCAGCAGAGCUGAACUCACACUGGAAUGGCACAGAGAGGCAUUAAGGCAGAGCUCAGAGCAGCGCUUCCCCUUUGCAACGGAGCGAUCCCAUCCAAAACUGCGGGUGGCAAAACAGAGGGCGGGUCUAUUUCCUCCCAUCGUUAGGAACACAUCUGUGCAGGUCUCCCCAACCCCCCCAUGCACCCAUUGCCCCAUCCAUGGGGACACAGCGGGGCCGUGACGGUGGCCCUGGGGUGAUGGUGACAAUGGAGCUGCUUGAAAUCCCAUGCCUGGAAGUGGGAGAGGAGCAUCUCUGGGAGGAAAGGGGUAAAAAUAGCUCUGUGUCAGCGAGAGCAGCAGGGGAGGAAGGGGAGGGGGGGGUGGGGGGGGCAGGCAGGGGCUCUGUGAGGUUAGUUAUAAAUAGGAGUAAUUACUGCAGAGGGGGUGAGCAGCUUAAUGAGGGGUUGGGCUGAUGGGAGCACUGGGAUUGAGGGAUGCAUCCCAGCAUUGGGGCGGGCAGUGGUGGGAACUGCAGCACUGAGGGAAAGGGAAGGGGCUGAGGGGACCCCCAGGGGGGUCUGUGCCCACAGGAAGGCUGUGAGCAUUGUAAGGGAGGGAGAAAUGCCCAGGCCUUCAUUCCGUGCCCUUUGGCAGGGCUGCUACCUGAUGGCUGAAUAAUGGCAUCCAGUGGUUAAUUAUGAUUAAAACCUGUGGCUGCCUCAGCUUUGUGCAUGGGCAGAGGUGUGGGUUCACUGCUAAGGAGGAGGCUCAGCUCUCUGCCCCAAAGUCAGCUCCCGCAGCUCCUGUGCAAUACAAUGCAAUGCAAUUCAGUGCAACCCAAAGCAGUGCAGUAGAACAAAACUCCAGCCCUAACCCAGUGCAAAGCAAUGCAACAGGCUGCAAUGCAAUCCUAACCCAGUGCAAAGCAAUGCAACAGAAUGCAGUGCAACACCAACCCUGACCUUAACCCAGUGCAAAGCAAUGUAACAGACUGCAGUGCAAUCCCAACGCUAACCCCGUGCAAAGCAAUGCAACAGGCUGCAGUGCAACCCUGACCUUAACCCAGUGCAAAGCAAUGCAACAGACUGCAGUGCAACCCCAAUGCUAACCCAGUGCAAAGCAAUGCAACAGAAUGCAGUGCAACCCCAACCCAGUGCAAAGCAAUGCAAUGGAAUGCAGUGCAGAGGUCGAUUCAUGGCCCUAUCCAUGCCAUGGAUGCCAUAAGGGCAUUACAAUGGAGACAAAGCAAAUCCUCUUGUAGGGAUCUCGGGUGUGCAGCUGUCUUCAUGACCUCAGUGCUCAUUUCACCCCCAGGACACUGUGCCACAUCCCACACUCAGCGCUGGGCAAACUGGGGAGCAGAGCGAGCACCACCCAUGCUGCACAGCAGAGCAUCUGCUGGGAAGAGCUUUAAAAUGAGGUUAAGUCCGCACACCAGCAUCAGAGCUAACUGAGUUAGAGCCCAUCACUGAGCCACAGAUCCACUUCUCCACGAGUUCUGAGCACCCCAGACUCUGUUCUGCUUUGAAUUAACACAGCUCCCGUGGCUCUGCUGCCGUGCAAUGCUUUCCGAGCUGCCCAUCCUCCUCCCACCCCCACGUCUGCACUCAGACCCACACCGGAGGCUUUGCACAGAGCCCCUCUCACUGCACGCAAGGAUAGGGGCGCCCCGGGAGGACCCCAACCACGAGGUGCUCACCCCAUUGUGCCGGCACCCCCUGCAGCACGCAGCCCCAUAAGAACAAAUGGGUCGAACAAAUGCUUCCUCCCGUCCCAAUAACCUCCUUUGGCUCCACGCUGUCGCAGAGCACGGGGAGCAUCACAGGGCUGAGAGAGCACACGGCACCCGUGGGUCAGCGCCCCUUCCCCCCUCAGCCCCAUUACCAAAGCCCCUGAUUGCUUUCUGCCCCAUUAGCACGGCGCUCCCGCAGCUCAGCCCACUGUAACCUCACGCACAUUAUUGCAGCCAUCGUCCAUUUCCCAUCCCCCAAAGCCCCAUCAGCCACCAUCUCCGGCCCCUUCUGCACUUUAUGACCUUUGCUCCUUCGGUGUCGU
rnacentral:lncRNA from 1 species